UUUCAUUAACGUUAGGAUUCUUAGAACUCUCGACAGAUUCCAUCAGCUGUCGGAAUUCGACAAUGGAAAGCGUAGCUGUCGGAAGAGAUUGGCCAACCACAAUCGACGACGGCGAAAAUAUCAACAACAACCUAGUGCUCAAGAAAACCAGAACACAUCCCCCAUGAAAAUGGUCGCAAUCCCUCAUCUGAUAAUACACCAAGGUCCCCGCCGGAUUCUGGGUUUCAGUCUUCUUCUUCAGUAACGGUGGCAGUUUCGCCGCCGCAAAUGUGAUCUGAUUUUUUCAAGCAAAG